rnacentral:rRNA from 1 species
AGGGAAUCUUCGGCAAUGGACGAAAGUCUGACCGAGCAACGCCGCGUGAGUGAAGAAGGUUUUCGGAUCGUAAAACUCUGUUGGUAGAGAAGAACGUUGGUGAGAGUGGAAAGCUCAUCAAGUGACGGUAACUACCCAGAAAGGGACGGCUAACUACGUGCCAGCAGCCGCGGUAAUACGUAGGUCCCGAGCGUUGUCCGGAUUUAUUGGGCGUAAAGCGAGCGCAGGUGGUUUAUUAAGUCUGGUGUAAAAGGCAGUGGCUCAACCAUUGUAUGCAUUGGAAACUGGUAGACUUGAGUGCAGGAGAGGAGAGUGGAAUUCCAUGUGUAGCGGUGAAAUGCGUAGAUAUAUGGAGGAACACCGGUGGCGAAAGCGGCUCUCUGGCCUGUAACUGACACUGAGGCUCGAAAGCGUGGGGAGCAAACAGGAUUAGAUAGCCC